rnacentral:rRNA from 1 species
UACGUAGGCAGCAAGCGUUGUUCGGAAUUAUUGGGCGUAAAGAGCUCGUAGGCGGUCUGUUGCGUCCGCUGUGAAAACUCGGGGCUUAACCCCGAGCCUGCAGUGGAUACGGGGCAGACUAGAGGUAGGUAGGGGGAGAGUGGAAUUCCCGGUGUAGCGGUGAAAUGCGCAGAUAUCGGGAAGAACACCCAUGGCGAAGGCAGCUCUCUGGGACGGUACUGGACGGCUGAGACGCGAAAGCGUGGGAGCGAACGAGG